UACGGGGGGGGCAAGCGUUGUUCGGAAUUACUGGGCGUAAAGGGCUCGUAGGCGGCCAACUAAGUCAGACGUGAAAUCCCCAGGCUCAACCUGGGAACUGCGUCUGACACUGGAUGGCUUGAAUUCGGGAGAGGGAUGCAGAAUUCCAGGUGUAGCGGUGAAAUGCGUAGAUAUCGGGAGGAACACCAGUGGCGAAGGCGACUUCCUGGCCUGUUCUUGACGCUGAGGCGCGAAAGCUAGGGUAGCAAACGGG
rnacentral:rRNA from 1 species